UCUAAACUUGUAUUUGUUUACAGCAAGCCAAGACAGCGGUUAAGCUGGAAACUGCCAGCUCUGUUCCCACCUUUGUUUGAAAUCCGGAAGCUGAGCAAGUCCAAGCUGGUCAAUUGUGCUACAGGUACAAGGUGAGCCAUUUUCAAUGGAAAUCAACACAGGAUCGGUUGUCACAAUCACGUCAGAGGAGGGGUGGAAGAAAAAGCUUGGAGGCAUUCCACUCAAGACAACAUCCAAGGUGCUAAAGACUGUUACUGAAGUUGCCGACACUCAAGUUGAUUAAUUAAGUUCAACUCCAGCGUCCAAACCAGAAGUGUUCAGAGUUUACUAAAAGAACAUACUAUUUAUCGACAAAUCAAAUAUCAAAUCCAGGAGUCAAAUAUCUGGAAGUAAACUGUGGAAGAGAAACUUAUCGAAAGUGUAUAUAGGUACGAUGGCUUGCAGCAGAUCAAGUCACAGGAGCACAAAGAUGCGAGGUGCAAAGAAAAUGCUUCGAAAAAGGUAUCAGAAGAAACCGGGCUCCCAGGAGCAGACUGCCAAAUAAUAUGCGCCUUCGCGACAAGUUCGUGAGGGAGGAAAAGAAAACCAUAUCACAGACUUCAUGGUAAACAAAGGUGAUGAGCAUGUGUAUAGUGGCUCGUCGCUGACUCUCAUCAAAUGAUAUUAUACACGGUACUGCAUCAGCAUCAGCAUUUUGACACCUACUCUGUGUCUUCACCAGCGUUCUCACCAGUGUCAUCAGCAUCACAUUGCAAACUAGCCAUUAGAUUUGCCAGUCCAGUUCAGUUAUGAUCAUGAUCGUAUUUAUUUCAGUCGGUUGAACUGGUUUCAUGUCUAAAUAUCCAAGCAUAAAAUUUUAGCGACUCUGGUCUUAUAGCAGACACAGAAUUUCCUCCCCAUGACACCUAGUUGUGCAGGUAUGAUAAAAGUACAGACACUUGCAAGCUGUUCCUAUAAUUGACUCUUACAUAACUGUUAAAAUAAAUGCACCAGUAUAACGAUACAUGACAAACUUGCACAUCAAGGCAAUGAAAUUGCAAUGUCCCUUAAUUAUUCACUCCACGCACAUUGUCAA